UUGAACGCUGGCGGAAUGCUUUACACAUGCAAGUCGAGCGGCAGCGCGGGGCAACCUGGCGGCGAGCGGCGAACGGGUGAGUAAUGUAUCGGAACGUGCCCAGUCGUGGGGGAUAACGUAGCGAAAGCUACGCUAAUACCGCAUACGAUCUACGGAUGAAAGCGGGGGAUCGCAAGACCUCGCGCGAUUGGAGCGGCCGAUAUCAGAUUAGCUAGUUGGUGGGGUAAAAGCCCACCAAGGCGACGAUCUGUAGCUGGUCUGAGAGGACGACCAGCCACACUGGAACUGAGACACGGUCCAGACUCCUACGGGAGGCAGCAGUGGGGAAUUUUGGACAAUGGGCGCAAGCCUGAUCCAGCAAUGCCGCGUGCAGGAUGAAGGCCUUCGGGUUGUAAACUGCUUUUGUACGGAACGAAACGGCUCUUUCUAAUAAAGAGGGCUAAUGACGGUACCGUAAGAAUAAGCACCGGCUAACUACGU
rnacentral:rRNA from 1 species